AUAGAAUUCUUAUUAACAAUAUGCCGGUGACUUUAAAGAGUGAACUAGCUUGGGACCAUUUGCUUUACAUUAAUGGAUGUGUAUCUUUUAUGUCAAUACAGCUUCUACUGUGUAUUGCUCUGCAAAGAUACCUCAAAAUAUGUAAACAGAAAACAUUGUGUCUCAAGAAAAGAAGAAUCAUGGUCGGUCUCUCAUGCAUUUCUGCUGUGACAUAUGCACUACCGUUAGCAUUUUCCUAUGACAUAGAUGAUUUUGCAAUUGAAGGAAAGGUGAUUGGAAAACUUCCAAUCAAAAUUAGAUUUGAAUCGAAUGCAGCAUGUAUUGCGAACGGAGUAGCAGCUUCGGUAUUUGUAAUAUGCAUGUACUCUUCGUUUUGUUUUUAUACGGCAAAAUAGGAUGUACUUUAUACGGUCAUAUAAAUGCAAAAAACAUCAAACGAAAAAUUGUGCGAUUUUCAAAGAGAAUUCGUUUCUCAAGGAGUAUGAAAAGGUCCAUAGAAUAUAGCGUUGAAUCAGCAACUGCGUUUAGCACAGCCAAAACAAAGAACACCAGUGAAGAAGAAGAAAAGAUGUCUAAAAUCAUAACAACUUUAAAAUCAAUAGAUGAGAGAAUCAACCUCGGGGAAAACGACGCCGAACAAAAGGAAGUGCAAAACACUAAAAACAAAAUGUGAAUAUACUGAUCUUAUCAUAUUCGAAGCAGAAAAUACAAAACAAAUUAAUAAUCAAAAUGACAGUUCGAAACCACAAAUGAAAACACAGAUUAUACCUCAUGUUCCCACACAAAAAGAAACCAACUAAUGAAAAGCAAGUUUACAUUAAUGUUUAUGCUAAUUACCUUCGUAUUUCUGCUUUGCUAUUCACCAGUAGCAGUCGUCCUUUAAUACGUUGGAAGGAAUAUAUACCGACUCUUGGAAAAAUCUAUCGAUGUCAGGCUUUAUAGCCACGUUGUGGAUUUGUCAUAUACACGUCAUUAACAAUAUUGCGAACCCUUUUAUUUAUGCUUUUAUGGAUCCCGUAUUUAGAAUCGCAGCACAACAAUUUUUUCAGAGCUUAACUUGUAAGUGUAGUAAUUAAAGUGAAUGUUCAC
rnacentral:lncRNA from 1 species